GGUCAUUUUACAUUAAUAACAAAUGGACAAAUUUCAUUUCCAAAAGCAAGAAGGGCAAAUAUGUAAUUUUACAUUAAAAAGGACAAAUUUCAAUUUCAAUAACAAAUUUUUGUAGAUCCAUUUCUCUUCCAUCUUUGUAGAACAUCAGUCUUUCUUCAAACAAAAAAAUUCAAUUCAUCCAUAGCACAAAGACUUACUCAAACAUGAUUCUAAAGCAUAAUUUCUUUCAGCUCUCUUCUUUCAACAACCAUUAAUCAAUUUGCAAUUCAAAACUUGAGGUUAACUGUUUGGAUGAUUGUAGUGUUGAUAUAUUUGAUGAUCAAUCGGUUAUUACAUUAUUAAAGAUAAAGGAGAUAAUAGUGUGAAGGAUUUCUAGCAGGAAAUGAGGUUGCUUGUUUCACAUGGUUAGUAGCCUUUUAAUCUGUUUAACAUGAGGUAAUCUACAAUAAAAUGUUCUAGCUUAUGCAAUAGGAGUUGCAUGUACAGAGAAGAUCAGGAAGGAAACAAUCCACUGUCUUCUCACUUUUAGAAACUAUUGCUCUGUCGAAAUACUGAUAAUUAUAUGAAGUUAUAGCUUGAAACUAACUGAAGUUUCUAUGAAAUAUAUAUUAUGCAGGAAUUGCUGAAACAAGUCUAAUUGGGGAACGAAAUGUGUUUUUUACUAUACAAUUGAUCUGCUAAUUUAAAGUUCUCAUACUUCUUUUUUGAAUUGUUUAAAAAAUAUAGCACUUUUGCAUGUCCAAUAUUAUCUUUUGUUAUAUUUUUUAUUGCAGCUUUGAAACUUGCUUCGAAAGAUAUUAGUAAUGAAAUGUGGCUCACAUUCCAUGGAAUAGUAACAGAAUAAAAAAGAAUUUCCCAUUUAAUGUUAUUUGACACACAUUGAGCAGUUUGUCAGACUCCAUUUUGAAAUGGGAGUUCAUUACUUAAUCCUCUCUUUGGGGUCCAAUCUCAAAAUAGUGCAAAGGUUCUUGAUGUACUUCAGCUGAAGUUAUGAUAAAUUUGUUUAUUAUGAGCUUAAGUAAAGCAGGAUGAGUAUGUUCAACUGUGAAAUGCAAGAUCAAUAUUCAUUGUAUCAUUUGAGUUGAAUAUCUUGUAUUAUAUGAAGAUCAAAUAACUACCGGAAGAACCAAUGAAGUUACAAUUAUGUAACAAAAAAAUAUGUUAAGAAAUUUCAGUGGAAGCUUGUGAUUUUUUUGCUUUAA